rnacentral:rRNA from 1 species
CAGUUCGGAUUGAAGGCUGAAAUUCGCCUUCAUGAAGCUGGAAUUGCUAGUAAUGGCAGGUCAGCAUACUGCCGUGAAUACGUUCCCGGGCCUUGUACACACCGCCCGUCAAGCCAUGGGAGCCGGGGGCGCCUGAAGUCCGGGACCGCGAGGACCGGCCUAAGGCGAAACUGGUGACUGGGGCUAAGUCGUAACAAGGUACC